rnacentral:rRNA from 1 species
UCGAGGGGUAGGGGACUUCGGUUCCUGAGACCGGCGCACGGGUGCGUAACGCGUAUGCAAUCUGCCUUACACUAAGGGAUAGCCCAGAGAAAUUUGGAUUAAUACCUUAUAGUAUAUGAUGGGGACAUCCCUGACAUAUUAAAGUAUCAACGGUGUAAGAUGAGCAUGCGUCCCAUUAGCUAGUUGGUGUGGUAACGGCACACCAAGGCAAUGAUGGGUAGGGGUCCUGAGAGGGAGAUCCCCCACACUGGUACUGAGACACGGACCAGACUCCUACGGGAGGCAGCAGUGAGGAAUAUUGGUCAAUGGGCGCAAGCCUGAACCAGCCAUGCCGCGUGCAGGACGACGCAUCUAUGGUGUGUAAACUGCUUUUGUACGGGAAGAAACCCUGCCUCGUGAGGCAGAUUGACGGUACCGUAAGAAUAAGGAUCGGCUAACUCCGUGCCAGCAGCCGCGGUAAUACGGAGGAUCCAAGCGUUAUCCGGAAUCAUUGGGUUUAAAGGGUCCGUAGGCGGUUUUAUAAGUCAGUGGUGAAAUCCGGCAGCUCAACUGUCGAACUGCCAUUGAUACUGUAGGACUUGAAUUAUUGUGAAGUAACUAGAAUAUGUAGUGUAGCGGUGAAAUGCUUAGAUAUUACAUGGAAUACCCAUUGCGAAGGCAGGUUACUAACAAUGGAUUGACGCUGAUGGACGAAAGCGU